GAAAGUUAUCAAAGUUUGUUGAAUUUGGAAAAUCUCAAGCUGUAUAGUUGAUUCAAGUUCUGGAUGAAAAAUGUCACCUGGUUUAUACAUGGAAAUUCACCGGUUAAUACUGUUUAUUUUUCUGAUCCCCACCAUGCUACCAUACUUCUUUUGACUUGGACUUUCAGAGGCAGACCCGUCAUCUUCAAAAACAAAUCCUUAUUGGAAAAUACAUGUACAUUGUAUACGUUACUGCAACAAAGUUGGUUAAUAAUAAAAUAAAA